GACGAACGCUGGCGGCGUGCUUAACACAUGCAAGUCGAACGGAAAGGCCCGCUUGCGGGUACUCGAGUGGCGAACGGGUGAGUAACACGUGGGCAACCUGCCCUCAGCUUCGGGAUAACACUUGGAAACAGGGGCUAAUACCGGAUAAUAACCUUUCAUCGCCAGGUGGUUGGUUCAAAGUUUUUCGGCUGAGGAUGGGCCCGCGGCCUAUCAGCUUGUUGGUGGGGUAAUGGCCUACCAAGGCGACGACGGGUAGCCGGCCUGAGAGGGCGACCGGCCACACUGGGACUGAGACACGGCCCAGACUCCUACGGGAGGCAGCAGUGGGGAAUAUUGCGCAAUGGGCGGAAGCCUGACGCAGCGACGCCGCGUGAGGGAUGACGGCCUUCGGGUUGUAAACCUCUUUCAGCUCUGACGAAGCGCAAGUGACGGUAGGAGCAGAAGAAGCACCGGCCAACUACGUGCCAGCCGCCGCCGUAA
rnacentral:rRNA from 1 species